CAGGCUUAACACAUGCAAGUCGACCGUUAGGAUGGUCUUAGCUUGCUAAGGCCGAUGGCGACCGGCGCACGGGUGAGUAACACGUAUCCAACCUGCCGUCUACUCUUGGACAGCCUUCUGAAAGGAAGAUUAAUACAAGAUGGCAUCAUGAGUCCGCAUGUUCACAUGAUUAAAGGUAUUCCGGUAGACGAUGGGGAUGCGUUCCAUUAGAUAGUAGGCGGGGUAACGGCCCACCUAGUCUUCGAUGGAUAGGGGUUCUGAGAGGAAGGUCCCCCACAUUGGAACUGAGACACGGUCCAAACUCCUACGGGAGGCAGCAGUGAGGAAUAUUGGUCAAUGGGCGAGAGCCUGAACCAGCCAAGUAGCGUGAAGGAUGACUGCCCUAUGGGUUGUAAACUUCUUUUAUAAAGGAAUAAAGUCGGGUAUGGAUACCCGUUUGCAUGUACUUUAUGAAUAAGGAUCGGCUAACUCCGUGCCAGCAGCCGCGGUAAUACGGAGGAUCCGAGCGUUAUCCGGAUUUAUUGGGUUUAAAGGGAGCGUAGAUGGAUGUUUAAGUCAGUUGUGAAAGUUUGCGGCUCAACCGUAAAAUUGCAGUUGAUACUGGAUAUCUUGAGUGCAGUUGAGGCAGGCGGAAUUCGUGGUGUAGCGGUGAAAUGCUUAAAUAUCACGAAGAACUCCGAUUGCGAAGGCAGUCUGCUAAGCUGCACCUGACAUUGAGGCUCGAAAGUGUGGGUAUCAAACAGGAUUAGAUACCCUGGUAGUCCACACGGUAAACGAUGAAUACUCGCUGUUUGCGAUAUACUGCAAGCGGCCAAGCGAAAGCGUUAAGUAUUCCACCUGGGGAGUACGCCGGCAACGGUGAAACUCAAAGGAAUUGACGGGGGCCCGCACAAGCGGAGGAACAUGUGGUUUAAUUCGAUGAUACGCGAGGAACCUUACCCGGGCUUAAAUUGCAGAUGAAUUACGGUGAAAGCCGUAAGCCGCAAGGCAUCUGUGAAGGUGCUGCAUGGUUGUCGUCAGCUCGUGCCGUGAGGUGUCGGCUUAAGUGCCAUAACGAGCGCAACCCUUGUUGUCAGUUACUAACAGGUUCCGCUGAGGACUCUGACAAGACUGCCAUCGUAAGAUGUGAGGAAGGUGGGGAUGACGUCAAAUCAGCACGGCCCUUACGUCCGGGGCUACACACGUGUUACAAUGGGGGGUACAGAGGGCCGCUACCACGCGAGUGGAUGCCAAUCCCCAAAACCUCUCUCAGUUCGGACUGGAGUCUGCAACCCGACUCCACGAAGCUGGAUUCGCUAGUAAUCGCGCAUCAGCCACGGCGCGGUGAAUACGUUCCCGGGCCUUGUACACACCGCCCGUCAAGCCAUGGGAGCCGGGGGUACAAGAAGUGCGUAACCGCGAGGAGCGCCCUAGGGUAAAACCGGU
rnacentral:rRNA from 1 species